GACGAACGCUGGCGGCGUGCUUAACACAUGCAAGUCGAACGGAAAGGCCCUGCUUUUGUGGGGUGCUCGAGUGGCGAACGGGUGAGUAACACGUGAGUAACCUGCCCUUGACUUUGGGAUAACUUCAGGAAACUGGGGCUAAUACCGGAUAGGAGCUCCUGCUGCAUGGUGGGGGUUGGAAAGUUUCGGCGGUUGGGGAUGGACUCGCGGCUUAUCAGCUUGUUGGUGGGGUAGUGGCUUACCAAGGCUUUGCCGGGUAGCCGGCCUGGGCGGGUGAUCGGCCACGUUAGGACGGGGAUACGGCCCGGACUCGUACGGGAGGCAACGGUGGGGAAUAUUGCACAAGGGGCGGAGGCCUAGUGCGACAACGCCGCGUGCGGGAUGACAGCCUUCGGGUUGUAAACCGCUUUCGCCUGUGACGAAGCGUGAGUGACGGUAAUGGGUAAAGAAGCACCGGCUAACUACGUG
rnacentral:rRNA from 1 species